AUGCACAUGCACGAUCGGAGUAAGCAAAUUAUCAACUCUGAUGUUCUAAUAUAUUCUCCAUACAUACAUAUAUAUAUAUAUGCAGGACAAAGUAGAUCUGUGCCUCCAAUGCAAGGGUCUUCCGGCCAGCAGAAUGAUCGACGUCCAGCGUAUCCUCUGGCGGCGGCUGGCCAGAAGCCGCCGCCACCGCCGCCUAGUGCAGAUAGUAAAGGGUUGUCGACGAAGACCGCUGCGUCGAGCAACGGCAGCAACUCUCACGCACCAAGACAGGCGUACAAAGCCGAUGAUGCAAGUGCUGGUGGUGGUAAACCGACAGGCAAGGGCAUUUCUAGGGGGUGA
rnacentral:rRNA from 1 species